rnacentral:rRNA from 1 species
GACGAACGCUGGCGGCGUGCUUAACACAUGCAAGUCGAACGAAGAGCGAUGGAAGCUUGCUUCUAUCAAUCUUAGUGGCGAACGGGUGAGUAACGCGUAAUCAACCUGCCCUUCAGAGGGGGACAACAGUUGGAAACGACUGCUAAUACCGCAUACGAUCUAAUCUCGGCAUCGAGGAUAGAUGAAAGGUGGCCUCUACACGUAAGCUAUCACUGAAGGAGGGGAUUGCGUCUGAUUAGCUAGUUGGAGGGGUAACGGCCCACCAAGGCGAUGAUCAGUAGCCGGUCUGAGAGGAUGAACGGCCACAUUGGGACUGAGACACGGCCCAGACUCCUACGGGAGGCAGCAGUGGGGAAUCUUCCGCAAUGGACGAAAGUCUGACGGAGCAACGCCGCGUGAGCGAUGACGGCCUUCGGGUUGUAAAGCUCUGUUAAUCGGGACGAAAGGCCUUCUUGCGAAUAGUGAGAAGGAUUGACGGUACCGGAAUAGAAAGCCACGGCUAACUACGUG